GACGAACGCUGGCGGCGUGGAUUAGGCAUGCAAGUCGAACGGUAUCAUCCUUUCGGGGAUGAGAGAGUGGCGAACGGGUGAGUAACACGUAGGUGAUCUACCCUCAAGACGGGGACAACCCAGGGAAACUUGGGCUAAUACCGGAUGUGAGCUAUCGCGAGAUAGUUUGAAAGGUGGCUUCGGCUGCCGCUUGGGGAUGAGCCUGCGUCCUAUUAGCUAGUUGGUGAGGUAACGGCUCACCGAGGCAGUGAUAGGUAGGCGGCCUUAACGGGUGGUCGCCCACACUGGGAUUGAGAUACGGCCCAGACUCCUACGGGAGGCAGCAGUCGAGAAUAGUCUACAAUGGUCGAAAGACUGAUAGUGCGACGCCGCGUGAACGAAGAAGCCCUUCGGGGUGUAAAGUUCUUUUAUAUGUGAGCAGUGACAUCUAUAUUAAAUAGUAAUGGGGAGAGAGAUAUUAGCAUAUGAAUAAGCAACGGCUAAACUCCGUGCCAGC
rnacentral:rRNA from 1 species